ensembl:lncRNA
CUGUCAGUUCUGUUUUCAGCCUUUCCUGUGAGCGCAUUCAGCUUUUAAAGAUUCAAACAAACAACUUUCAGACUAGGAGCUAAAAUCUACAGCAAUCAUGAUCUUGGAAGAAGCUGGAUUUUUUGGGGUGGGUUUGAUUCUGUGUCUCUCAGGUGUUAAUGGAGGAGAAAGCAGGAUCUGUGCUCUCAAAGGUUCAUCAGUGAAUCUGCACUGCUCACAUCAACAUCUGACUUCAAGCACCAAAUGGUUCACUAUAGACUGGGAUGGUUACAAGGAUGUUCAGAGUGAGCUCUCUGUGGAUGGACAACGUGUAACGUACAACAUGUCUGAAGAGAAAAACCCAACUUUAACCAUCAAUGUUCUAAGAGAGAGUGAUGCAAACACUUACUGCUGUAUGAAGACUACAGACAGUCCAGGACUCUGUUCACUCAGUAAUAUUACUCUUCAAGUUGUUGGAGAGCUGCAGGUAAAGGUGAUUCCUGCCACAGAGGGACAGACAGUAACACUGAUGUGCAGCAGCAGCUGUCCUCUGACUGAAAAGCCUGCAGCCUACAUCUGGUACAAGAACAGAGAGUUUCUCUAUGAGGACUGGUCUCCCUGGUACCAAGAGCUGCUCAGCAGUGAGGAAGCAGUCACAUACUCCUGUGCUGUCAAAGGCUACGAGGAUCUCAGAGCCCCUGAAGUCUCUGUGGGUACUGCACUCUCAAAGACUGAAUGAACAGCAUUGCAGCCAUGGGUCACUGUGAGCAUCACAGGGAAGGUUGAAGCCGCCCACUGCACCUGUAUGGCCGGAGUCGUGGAGACCUGCACCCAUGUCGCUGCUCUUCUGUUUAAUCUAGAAGCAAGAGUGUUGAUCCGUGGCACAAGGCCUGUUACAGAUGAACCUGCAUACUGGGUUUUGCUGGGUUAUGUGACCAAGAUACAGUCAGAGGUUGGCCAUAAGAUAGACUUCUCUUCAGCUGCCCAAAAAAAGGCUCUUGAUCAAAACAUAAACAGACCAUCCGUAGUGAAAGGUAAAAGGAGCCGUCCUCAAAAAAGAAAAAUCCCAC